UGGGGAAUAUUGCACAAUGGGCGCAAGCCUGAUGCAGCCAUGCCGCGUGUAUGAAGAAGGCCUUCGGGUUGUAAAGUACUUUCAGCGGGGAGGAAGGGAGUAAAGUUAAUACCUUUGCUCAUUUACGUUACCCGCAGAAGAAGCACCGUCUAACUCCGUGCCAGCAGCCGCGGUAAUACGGAGGGUGCAAGCGUUAAUCGGAAUUACUGGGAGUAAAGCGAACGCAGGCGGUUUGUUAAGUCAGAUGUGAAAUCCUCGGGCUCAACCUGGGAACUGCAUCUGAUACUGGCAAGCUUGAGUCUCGUAGAGGGGGGUAGAAUUCCAGGUGUAGCGGUGAAAUGCGUAGAGAUCUGGAGGAAUACCGGUGGCGAAGGCGGCCCCCUGGACGAAGACUGACGCUCAGGUGCGAAAGCGUGGGGAGCAAACAGG
rnacentral:rRNA from 1 species